rnacentral:rRNA from 1 species
UACGGAGGAUCCGAGCGUUAUCCGGAUUUAUUGGGUUUAAAGGGUGCGCAGGCGGGAGAUUAAGUCGGCGGUGAAAUUUUGCAGCUCAACUGUAAAAGUGCCAUUGAUACUGGUUUCCUUGAGUGUGGAUGAAGUAGGCGGAAUUUGUGGUGUAGCGGUGAAAUGCAUAGAUAUCACGAGGAACUCCGAUUGCGAAGGCAGCUUACUAAGCUACUACUGACGCUCAUGCACGAAGGCGUGGGGAUCAAACAGGAUUAGAUA